AAGAACUGAUCCCAUUAUUAUUCUUUUUAAUUUCUCGCAGUCAUGAGAUGGAUGCAUUUCUUCACGAAAUUUAUGGAUAUUUAGGCUUAUCUAUUUACUAAAUAGGCAUAAUAUUUAAUAGGGCCAGUUGAGUAUCCAAACAAGGCUGUACAUGCUAUGUGGUCAUUAGUACUUAGAAUUUCACUGGUCCUGUUCGUUCAAUAUAUAUUCAAAGGUAAUAGCUCAAAUUUUGCAAGCAAGUAUACACAAAAUGUUGGCUUAGUUUUCACCAUGACUGCACCUGUUAGAAUUCUUGAUGUUUUUAAUGUAUCCCCAUCACCAUCUUGUGUACCCAAACAGCUGCAACCAUCCACUCACAUUUUUAGAUGUGUUUUGGUUUCCUAUAUCCCCUGUUCAAAGGAUCUUCUUCUACAAUCCCCUUGAACAGGAAACCAACUUCUCAGACUUGGUAGACAAGCUCAAGAAUUCCCUUUCCAUGGUCCUUGAGUACUUUACCCACUUGCCGGAAAAAUCACACUAUCGGCCGAUUCCGACCACUUGGAGAUUAAUUACAAAGAUGGAGUAGGGGUUGCAUUCUAUGUGGCUGAAACUGAAGCCGAUUACAAAGUUCUUGUGACGAACUGUGUCGAUGACACAACCAUCUUCAAGUUGCUAGUCCCACCUCUGUCAGCUCUUUUCCCGGCGUCCAUGGUGUCUGUACAGGCGGCAAGGUUUCCUAAUGGUGGUCUAUGCAUAGGAAGGAGUGGGCUUUGGCCUAGAAUUCCCAAAGAUGAACGGUUUAGUGUGAGCCACUUUCCUCAUAUGAGAUGGCAUUGCAAGGCUAAAGAGACAGGUUACAAGCAGCAAGGACAAUGUCCUAGCCGUGCCCUCGACUUUUGCAGCCGUGUCGGUCCACAUUUGGGUGUGUACCGUGAGAGUGAGGAAUCUGGGGGACGACUCGAUCCUGGUGGGACUGGUCGGGAACUGAAUGGGGAGGAGGCAAUGGUUUGGGCUGCAGAGGCCAUAGGAAAUGUGAUUCGCAAAGGGAGGGCCGAUCCUCUAGGGGAUGCCAAGACAUGGCUGAGCUGGUUUACACAGCUUGUGGGGUCCUGGUACCUGUUGAUGGCUGGAUCCCCUAGGAUCAGCAUUUGCGAGAUGGGUUUUGGAUGGGGAAGGCUGAGGAGAGUGGAGGUGGUAUCCAUUGACAAGGAAGGAGGGAUUGCUCUUGCAGUAGCACGAGAAGAAGAAGGUGGAGUUGAAGUUUCUCUCUCACUUCGUUCUUCAGAAAUGCACGAGCUUGAGUCUCUCUUCUUUAAGGGCCUCAAUGAGGCAUAAGAUUCCCUGAUUUUCCUUUUGAGUUUUGACUUAGAAUCUCUCAGUUAUUCUACCUAUAGCCUAGUUCUAAGGUGCUCAAAGCCUUAAUGAUCCAGUUAUAUUCGGGUGAAUGCCCUAAAUUAUUUGGAUGAGUGAUUUGGGACCCUAAAUUUUUUUCUAAAAUAUGAAAUGCUCUGUUUAUAGCAACCAAUUUUUUUAAUUUUUUCAAAAA